rnacentral:rRNA from 1 species
UAGGGGGCAAGCGUUAUCCGGAUUUACUGGGUGUAAAGGGAGCGUAGACGGUGUGGCAAGUCUGAUGUGAAAGGCAUGGGCUCAACCUGUGGACUGCAUUGGAAACUGUCAUACUUGAGUGCCGGAGGGGUAAGCGGAAUUCCUAGUGUAGCGGUGAAAUGCGUAGAUAUUAGGAGGAACACCAGUGGCGAAGGCGGCUUACUGGACGGUAACUGACGUUGAGGCUCGAAAGCGUGGGGAGCA